UUUAAUCGUAGAAAUAUUUAAUUUUUCGGAAACAUCUUAUAAUGUAGCAAACUCGGCAUUGUCCCUUUAAGGGGCGUUCUCAUUACGCGAUUAGACUUGCCUCAUGCGAUCGAAUCGUACUGCCAGAACACGACUUAUAGUCGUGUAGGAAUCGUACCAAUUAGAACAUGUUCUAUUUCUCACGAAAAAUCUAAGCUCUCAGCCAAUCAAAUCACAUUAAGGUUAAACCGUUUCGUUUUGUCUCUUCCGUGUUUUUUCAUUUGCUUAAUUAUAACACGAGCGUAGGAAGGUUCCAAAGGGGGGGGGGGGGGGCACACUAUUAUAUUUACACACUUUUACACUAUUAUAAAGCAAAUAUAAAGGAAAAUAUCUGAAAAGUGUGUGUGCCGUUUCCUACGCCAGUGUAUAAACAUGUCAAAUUGUCCGAUUUCUUGGGUUCAUAAAACCUAUUACUGUCCAGAUGUGGUCAAUAAUUGUUUUGUACGUAAUGCCAUCAGUAAACUGUCUACAUUCAAGUUUUCUUUAUUUCACUUACAUUUCCCGCAAAAUAUUUUUAAACUGAUGAGCUUUGUUUGACGUCAUCAAAUCUUAUGACGUAACGUCUCUCCCCCCCCCCCCACGAUUCGAGUCGCUACGACUGAUCGCAUGAGAACGCUGCGUUAGUAAGUUAGUAAAAUAUAUUUAAAAAUAUUUAUUAGUGAAAUAGUAUUAUUAUCAGUUACAAGUGAAUAUAAGACUUAAGGGGCGGAUACAGGAUGUUUUUUCAGGGAGGCGGUGUAAAGUUUAAAGAAGACACCUCCAGUAGGCCUAUUUAAGUAGAUAUGUCCUAUAUCAACGGCACUUGGUAUCACUGGGUCAUACUCUAUGUUACAGUCUGGUUGACUGCAUGUUGUGUAUGUUUUAUCAAACAAUCCCUGCAUAGUUACACUUGGUGUCUUUGGAUUCUGCCCUUCUUUGCACAGAACAAAAACCUAUCCUGGUAGGCUCUAAUCUAGAAUUAAAAACGUAGGAGAAGAAAGGGAAGAAGUGUGAUAAAAAAAUAAGCAAAGUGAACAUUUAUCGGAACAUUUUAUUAUGUUUCGUCAUGCUCCGCGUUCAUCCGGAAAACCUUCAAAUUAGACACUUGAUUCUGAUUUCUGGGUACACUGGCAGUGUAACCCCCAGCAUAAUAUAAUAUGCCAUAUGCAUCUCUACAAACAUUUUCAUUGUCAAUACAGAUUCAACGAUACGUGCACCAGGUUUAGGACAUUUGUGAGAAGUACAAAAUAUAGUCUCUGUCUUCGGAGCUAAAGGCAACUUGCUUGAGCUGUAUGCAAUAGCAAGCGUCAGUCAACUUCCACUUGACAACACUGGAUAGCGUACAGCCAUGGAUACUAUUUUAACAUUUGUUAUUGAAACACUAUUCCUUGGAGUAUAUUUGUGUAAUGU